GAUGCAGACAAAUACUGGCUAUGGACGAGUUGUAAUUUGUAGAAGGUGCUUCGUGGGCGGCACCGGUCCAAGUCCCUUGGAACAGGGCGUCGCAGAGGGUGAGAAUCCCGUACGCGAUCGAUGGCCAAGCCUGGGUGAAGCCCUUUCGACGAGUCGAGUUGUUUGGGAAUGCAGCUCUAAUUGGGUGGUAAAUUUCAUCUAAAGCUAAAUAUCUGCCGGAGACCGAUAGCGCACAAGUAGAGUGAUCGAAAGAUGAAAAGCACUUUGAAAAGAGAGUCAAACAGUACGUGAAAUUGUUGAAAGGGAAGCGCUUGCAACCAGACUCGUUCGCGGGUGCUCAGCCUCCCUUCGGGGUGGUGCACUCUCCCGCCGCCGGGCCAGCAUCGGUUUUGGCGGUCGGACAAAGACCUCGAGAACGUAGCUCCUUUCGGGGAGUGUUAUAGCUUGGGAUGUAAUGCGGCCAGCCGAGACCGAGGAACGCGCAUUGCGUAGGAUGCUGGCGUAAUGGUUGCCAGCGACCCGUCUUGAAACACGGACCAAGGAGUCGACCAACUGUGCGAGUAUAUGGGUAUUAAACCCACAUGCGCAAUGAAGGUGAACGUAGGUGGGAGCCUUUGGGUGCACCAUCGACCGAUCUUGAAGUUUUCUGAUGGAUUUGAGUAUGAGCCCAUUUGUUGGGACCCGAAAAGCCAAGCAUUUUCUCCCGCCCAAUCGCGACCUAUAUUUGCUAAGGACUUUUUAGAGGGUGAAUUAUCCAGGGUAAGUUAUCCAAUAGCUUUGCUCCCAAUCUUACUAACCAGAGCAGAAUAGGGUGAAGCCAGAGGAAACUCUGGUGGAGGCUCGCAGCGGUUCUGACGUGCAAAUCGAUCGUCAAAUUUGUGCAUAGGGGCGAAAGACUAAUCGAAUCAAUCUAGUAGCUGGGUGAGUCAUUCACCUGGCUUUAUGAAUAUCUGUGCUAAUAUUGAAAAGUUCCCGUCGAAGUUUCCCUCAGUAAGCGGAACCUGUUUUUUCGUUCAAUCAAUCAUUAUCUAACAAUUUUCUAGGGAUAGCAGCAGCGAAAAUAGUCUCAUGAGGUAGAGCAAACGAUUAGAGGUCUUGGGGUCGAAAUCGACCUUAACCUAUUCUCGAACUUCGAAUGCGUGAGAAGUCCUUGUUACUUAAUUGAACGUGGACAUUGGAUAUCGCCGUCUAGGCCCCAAGUUGAACCGAACUGC
rnacentral:rRNA from 1 species